rnacentral:rRNA from 1 species
ACGGGUGCGUAACACGUGGGUAAUCUGCCCUUCGAUGGGGAAUAACUCCGGGAAACCGAAGCUAAUUCCGCAUAACAUUCCUUGAACCUCGGUUUGGGGACUCAAAGCCGUAAGGCGUCGGAGGAGGAACCCGCGCACGAUUAGCUAGUUGGUAGGGUAACGGCCUACCAAGGCUUUGAUCGUUAGCUGGUCUGAGAGGAUGAUCAGCCACACUGGGACUGAGACACGGCCCAGACUCCUACGGGAGGCAGCAGUGGGGAAUAUUGGACAAUGGGGGCAACCCUGAUCCAGCAAUGCCGCGUGUGUGAAGAAGGCCUUCGGGUUGUAAAGCACUUUUAUCCGGAACGAAACGCGCAGGGUGAAUAGCUCUGUGAACUGACGGUACCGGAAGAAUCAGCACCGGCUAACUUCGUGCCAGCAGCCGCGG